CCGCAGCCUUGCCUGCGCCCGCGGCCCUCUCUGCCCGCUCCCUCGCCCCUGCCAGCAUGGCGCGCGCGGCGGGCCCCGAGCGGCGGCUCCUGGCCAUCUACACGGGGGGCACCAUCGGGAUGCGGAGCCACCGCGGCGUGCUGGUCCCGGGGAGCGGCCUGGCCGCCGUCCUGAGGACACUGCCCAUGUUCCACGACGAGGAGCACGCCCGGGCCCGCGGCCUCCCCGAGGACACCCUGGUGCUGCCGCCCGCCAGUCCCGACCAGAGGAUCCUCUACACGGUGCUGGAGUGCCAGCCCCUCUUCGACUCCAGUGACAUGACCAUCACUGAGUGGGUUCAGAUUGCCCAGACCAUUGAGACACGCUACGAGCAGUUCGACGGCUUCGUGGUGAUCCACGGCACCGACACCAUGGCCUUCGCCGCCGCCGCGCUCGCCUUCGCGCUGGAGAACCUGCAGAAGACGGUGGUCCUCACGGGCGCCCAGGUGCCCAUCCACGCGCUGUGGAGCGACGGCCGCGAGAACCUGCUGGGGGCCCUGCUCAUGGCCGGCCAGUACGUGAUCCCCGAGGUCUGCCUGUUCUUCCAGAACCAGCUGUUUCGGGGCACGCGGGUGACCAAGGUGGAUGCCCGCAAGUUCGCCGCCUUCUGCUCCCCGAACCUGCCGCCGCUGGCUGUGGUGGGCGCGGACGUCACCAUCAACCGGGAGCUGGUGAGGACGGCGCGCGGGCAGGCCCGGCUGGCGGUGCACAGCUGCAUGGAGCGCGACGUGGGCCUGCUGCGCCUCUACCCCGGGAUCCCCGCCAGCCUGGUCCGGGCCUUCCUGCAGCCGCCCCUGAAGGGUGUGGUCAUGGAGACCUUCGGCUCCGGGAACGGGCCCACCAAGCCGGACCUGCUGCGGGAGCUGCGGGCGGCGGCUGCGCGCGGCCUGCUCAUCCUCAACUGCACCCACUGCCUGCAGGGCACCGUGACCUCGGACUACGCGGCGGGCAUGGCCUCGGCGGGAGCUGGCAUCAUCUCGGGCUUCGACAUGACGUCCGAGGCUGCCCUGGCCAAGCUGUCGUAUGUGCUGGGCCAGCCCGGGCUGAGCCUGGACGACAGGAAGGAGCUGCUGGCCAGGGACCUCCGGGGCGAGAUGACGCUGCCCGAGGCGGACACGUGCCGGCCCUCCCCUCAGAGCAGCCUGGGACUCGGGGUGGCCCAGCUCCUCAGCCUCAGCCAGGAGGCGGCUGCUGUGCGAGACGCCCUGACCCCCAGCCUGGCCUGCGCCGCGGCCCACGCCGGCGACCUGGAGGCCUUGCAGGCCCUGGCAGAGCGGGGCAGCGACCUGAGCCUGGAGGACUUUCAGGGUCAAACUCCGCUGCACGCGGCCGCCCGGAGGGGCCACACGGCGGCGGUGAGCCUGCUGCUGCGUUGCGGGGCGGCCGUGGACGCCCGGGACCAGGAGGGCCUCAGCCCCCUGCUGCUGGCCGUCAGGGGCAGGCACCGGGGCGCCAUCGGGCUCCUGCGGGCGGCCGGGGCCUGCCUGUCGGCCCGGGAGCUGGAGGACGUGGGGACAGAGCUGUGCAGGCUGGCCUCCAGGGCGGACAGCGAAGGCCUGCGGGCGUGGUGGCAGGCAGGGGCUGACCUGGGGCAGCCGGGCUACGAUGGGCGCAGCGCCCUGCUCGUGCUCCUCCCUCGGGCCCCCUCCUGCAGGCAGAAGCCGCUGGAAACGUGGAGGUGGUGACUCUCCUACAGAGCCUCCAGGGUGGGGCUGGGGCCCCGGCUCCAGGGCCGGAAGUGCUGCCCGGUGUCUGACCGAACCGUCUGCUGCGGCAUCAGCCAUCCCUCCUGUGACCUGCAGCGGGGGUCGCGGGCACCCCUCCCUGUGGCUCUGACUGGUGCCCCCGCCGCCAGGACUCUGUCCGUCCUGUUCCCGAGACCGGCCUCGUGUCUGUGCUGGGCGGCGUGACAAUAAAGUCUCAGGGACACUCCCUCUUGGG